CCGCCCGCGUCGGGAGAGCGCGUGGCCGCCGUCUGCAUGAAGACGAAGCGCCGCGCCGCCGAAGGGGCAUACCCGCAAACUCUCAGGCAAAAGGACCGAACGCGUCGAG
rnacentral:ncRNA from 2 species